rnacentral:rRNA from 1 species
AUAAGCGGAGGAAAAGAAACCAACAGGGAUUGCCCUAGUAACGGCGAGUGAAGCGGCAACAGCUCAAAUUUGAAAUCUGGCGCAAGCCCGAGUUGUAAUUUGUAGAGGAUGCUUCUGGGUAGCGGCCGGUCUAAGUUCCUUGGAACAGGACGUCAUAGAGGGUGAGAAUCCCGUAUGUGACUGGCCCGCACCCUCCACGUAGCUCCUUCGACGAGUCGAGUUGUUUGGGAAUGCAGCUCUAAAUGGGAGGUAAAUUUCUUCUAAAGCUAAAUACCGGCCAGAGACCGAUAGCGCACAAGUAGAGUGAUCGAAAGAUGAAAAGCACUUUGGAAAGAGAGUUAAACAGCACGUGAAAUUGUUGAAAGGGAAGCGCCCGCAACCAGACUUCGCGGCGGUGUUCCACCGGUCUUCUGACCGGUCUACUCUCCGUCGUGAGGCCAUCAUCGUCUGGGGCCGCCGGAUAAGACUUAAGGAAUGUAGCACCCCUCGGGGUGUGUUAUAGCCUUCUGUGAUGCGGCGAGUCCCGGGCGAGGUCCGCGCUUCGGCAAGGAUGAUGGCGUAAUGGUUGUCGGCGGCCCGUCUUGAAACACGGACCAAGGAGUCUAACAUCUAUGCGAGUGUUCGGGUGUCAAACCCCUACGCGUAAUGAAAGUGAACGGAGGUGGGAGCUUCGGCGCACCAUCGACCGAUCCUGAUGUCCUCGGAUGGAUUUGAGUAAGAGCAUAGCUGUUGGGACCCGAAAGAUGGUGAACUAUGCCUGAAUAGGGUGAAGCCAGAGGAAACUCUGGUGGAGGCUCGCAGCGGUUCUGACGUGCAAAUCGAUCGUCAAAUUUGGGUAUAGGGGCGAAAGACUAAUCGAACCAUCUAGUAGCUGGUUCCUGCCGAA